CGAACAGGAUUAGAUACCCUGGUAGUCCACGCCGUAAACGUUGGGCGCUAGAUGUGGGUCACAUUCCACGUGAUCCGUGUCGCAGCUAACGCAUUAAGCGCCCCGCCUGGGGAGUACGGCCGCAAGGCUAAAACUCAAAGGAAUUGACGGGGGCCCGCACAAGCGGCGGAGCAUGCGGAUUAAUUCGAUGCAACGCGAAGAACCUUACCAAGGCUUGACAUAUACAGGAAAACUGCAGAAAUGUAGUCCCCCGCAAGGGUCUGUAUACAGGUGGUGCAUGGUUGUCGUCAGCUCGUGUCGUGAGAUGUUGGGUUAAGUCCCGCAACGAGCGCAACCCUCGUCCUAUGUUGCCAGCACGUUAUGGUGGGAACUCAUGGGAGACUGCCGGGGUCAACUCGGAGGAAGGUGGGGAUGACGUCAAAUCAUCAUGCCCCUUAUGUCUUGGGCUUCACGCAUGCUACAAUGGCCGGUACAAAGGGCUGCAAUACCGCAAGGUGGAGCGAAUCCCAAAAAGCCGGUCUCAGUUCGGAUUGAGGUCUGCAACUCGACCUCAUGAAGUCGGAGUCGCUAGUAAUCGCAGAUCAGCAACGCUGCGGUGAUACGUUCCCGGGCCUUGUACACACCGCCCGUCAAGUCACGAAAGUCGGUAACACCCGAAGCCGGUGGCCUAACCGUAAGGAA
rnacentral:rRNA from 1 species